AUUUCUGAGUUUGGGCCUUUUGGCUAAGAUCAAGUGUAGUAUCUGUUCUUAUCAGUUUAUUUUUUAAAUUCUUUUUACAUAAAAUCAGUAUAGCUUAUUCCACUUUUAGGCCUUGGUUGGCUGCCCAAAUAUAUCCUUC
rnacentral:snRNA from 1 species